AACUACAGGAACAGUUAGCUGAUUUCAACCAUUUUAUUGCAUCACAUUACCAGAAUAUUUUGCAAGCUAUGGAGAAACACAACAAUGAAUUGCAGACUGUCCUGACUGACUUGACUGAGACAAUUUACCAAGCCAAGGGAAAUAAUUAAAAUGAAACUUCCUUUUCUGCAAAUGACUAAACACUCAGUUGUGUUGACAAAAUGACAAAAUGCCACAGUACGCAAAAUAGGUUUUGAAAGAUAAGAAGGCAGUUUUUAAAAGCCUCCUGAAUUUCACACUCUGAGCUAACCAGAAAAGAGGAAGUUACGACAAAUUUAUUUUGUGAAUGAUGAAUGGUGUUUCCUUCUCUAUGCUGUCUGAUACUCUUAUUUUUCUCUACAUUUAAAACCAUUUGUAAGCAUUUUGUAUUUGAUUCUGAGGUAAUUAGUACCAUAUAUUUUUUAUUUUUUCAUCCCCUAAUCCUUUAUACCCUGUGUGUAUCUGUGAGAAAAAUUUUCUUAAUAUGUUUGUACAUAAAUAUUCUUUCUUUCUUUUUCCAAUUUACUCAUAUAUACCAGAGUGAUUGUAUGAAUGAAGGAUUCUUUUCUGUAUAUACUGUACUUAUGAAUAAAGAAUAGUAUAUUU